rnacentral:rRNA from 1 species
GAUGAACGCUGGCGGCGUGCCUAAUACAUGCAAGUCGAGCGAACGGACGAGAAGCUUGCUUCUCUGAUGUUAGCGGCGGACGGGUGAGUAACACGUGGAUAACCUACCUAUAAGACUGGGAUAACUUCGGGAAACCGGAGCUAAUACCGGAUAAUAUUUUGCACCGCAUGGUUCAAAAGUGAAAGACGGUCUUGCUGUCACUUAUAGAUGGAUCCGCGCUGCAUUAGCUAGUUGGUAAGGUAACGGCUUACCAAGGCAACGAUGCAUAGCCGACCUGAGAGGGUGGUCGGCCGCACUGGAACUGAGACACGGUCCAUACUCCUACGGGAGGCAGCAGUAGGGAAUCGUCCGCAAUGGGCGAAAGCCUGACGGAGCAACGCCGCGUGAGUGAUGAAGGUCUUCGGAUCGUAAAACUCUGUUAUUAGGGAAGAACAUGUGUGUAAGUAACUGUGCACAUCUUGACGGUACCUAAGCAGAAAGCCACGGCUAACUACGUG